CUCCCCCAGACAUUUUCACUCCCCCGCCAAAUUGCCAAAGUAAAUAGGUGGCGGGCACAAUUAAUAUAUAUAAUCCGCUUAAAUAUAUAUACUGGACAAAAAAAAAAAGGAGGAAGAAGAAGAAGAAGAAGGAGGCCCAACUUCUAUCAAUUACUUCCUAAAAGAAGCUUCAACGAGGUUAGGGUUUUCAACCAGCGAAGAGGGCACACGGUGGACUAGCAAGUGCUGGUACGUCCAUAACCUCCUCAAGUACGAGUUCAAUCUCCAAUUCGACAUCCCCGUCACCUACCCUUCCACUGCCCCCGAGCUCGAAUUGCCCCAACUAGAUGGCAAGACCCACAAGAUGUAUAGAGGAGGGAAGAUUUGCUUGACUGUGCGUUUCAAACCACUCUAUGCUAAGAACUGUGAUUUAGAGAAAAGAUAUUAGAAGGAAGAAAGUCUUUGCUCCUUGCUCCCUGGUGUUACAAGGUGCUUGUCAGUUCCAGGGUUAGAGCUUGGUCGUACAGAGCAGAUACAGACACUCAUUCCUCCGACUACGUAGGACUACUUUCUAUAUUUAGCUUUAGAUUUUAUUUUAGUUAUUUCCUUUUCAGUUUGAGAUAUUUGAUAGGGGUCCACUAAAUGGAUUCCCGAGUUGUUAAAUUAAUAGAGGUUUUGGAUUAUUGGAUUUUAAAUAUUUAAAUUUUAAGGAUUUUUAGUUUAGAAUUCUU